rnacentral:rRNA from 2 species
UCCUUUUGUAGAUAAUUUAAGGUCUAGCCUGCCCACUGAAAUUUUAAAUGGCCGUGGUAUUUUGACCGUGCUAAGGUAGCAUAAUCAUUAGUUUUUUAAUUAAAAACUGGAAUGAAAGGUUGGAUGAGAAAAUAGCUGUCUCUAUUAAAUUUAAUUAGAAUUUUAUUUUUAAGUUAAAAAGCUUAAUUAUUAUUAAAAGACGAGAAGACCCUAUAGAGUUUAAUUAUUUAGUAAAAAUUAUAUUUUAGUAUUAAUUUAUUUAUUUUAUUAAAUAAUUUAAUUGGGGUGAUUGAAAAAUUUAAUUAACUUUUUUUUAUUUAAGAACAUUAAUUUAUGAAUAAAUGAUCCAAUAUUUUUGAUUAUAAGAUAAAAUUACCUUAGGGAUAACAGCGUAAUUUUUUUAGAAAGUUCAUAUUAAAAAAAAAGAUUGCGACCUCGAUGUUGGAUUAAAAUAAAUUUUUGGUGUAGAAGCUAAAAUAUUAGGUCUGUUCGACCUUUAAAAUUUUACAUGAU